rnacentral:rRNA from 1 species
UUGAAUUGAAGAGUUUGAUCAUGGCUCAGAUUGAACGCUGGCGGCAGGCUUAACACAUGCAAGUCGAACGGUAACGGGAAGGAAGCUUGCUUUCUUUGCCGACGAGUGGCGGACGGGUGAGUAAUGCUUGGGAAUCUGGCUUAUGGAGGGGGAUAACUACGG